rnacentral:tRNA from 1 species
GGAGGGUUCGCAUAGUGGUCUAUUGCGCCGCACUUGAAAUGCGGUUGAGGGAAACCUCUCGCAGGUUCGAAUCCUGCACCCUCCG